CGUGCUGCGGGCCACCGGCCGGGCGCAGGCGCUGGUGACUGACCUGGGCACUGCGGAGCUGGCGCGCUGUGGAGGCCGUGAGGCGCUGCUGUUCCGGGAAAACACAUUGGCCACCAAGGCUAUCGAUGAGUACAUGAAGCUCGUGGCACAGGAUUACCUCCAGGAGACCCUGGGUGAGCUGGGGGAGAGUCCAUGUCAGCGGCCUGCUGGUGAGCUAGGGGACCUGGGUGAAGUUCUAAGAGUCCUUGAGCAACCUGGAUUCUGGUAGUGAGUGGUGUUUUGGGGGUGCUAGGAUCCUG
rnacentral:lncRNA from 1 species